rnacentral:rRNA from 1 species
AGUCAAUAGAUACCCAGGUAGUCCAUGCCGUAAACGAUGAUUGCUAGGUGUGGGGGGUCUGACCCCUUCCGUGCCGGAGUUAAACACAAUAAGCAAUCCACCUGGGGAGUACGGCCGCAAGGUUGAAACUCAAAGGAAUUGACGGGGGCCCGCACAAGCAGUGAAGUAUGUGGUUUAAAUUCGAAGCAACGCGAAGAACCUUACCAGGUCUUGACAUCCACCGAAUCCUGUAGAGAUACGGGAGUGCCCUUCGGGGAACGGUGAGACAGGUGGUGCAUGGUUGUCGUCAGCUCGUGUCGUGAGAUGUUGGGUUAAGUCCCGCAACGAGCGCAACCCUUGUGAAUAGUUGCUACGAAAGAGCACUCUAUUCAGACCGCCGUUGACAAAACGGAGGAAGGUGGGGAUGACGUCAAAUCAUCAUGCCCCUUAUGACCUGGGCUACACACGUACUACAAUGGCCGUUAACAGAGGGAUGCAAUGCCGCGAGGUGGAGCGAACCCCUAAAAACGGUCUCAGUUCAGAUUGCAGGCUGAAACUCG